rnacentral:rRNA from 1 species
GACGAACGCUGGCGGCGUGCUUAACACAUGCAAGUCGAACGGAAAGGCCCUGCUUUUGUGGGGUGCUCGAGUGGCGAACGGGUGAGUAACACGUGAGUAACCUGCCCUUGACUUUGGGAUAACUUCAGGAAACUGGGGCUAAUACCGGAUAGGAGCUCCUGCUGCAUGGUGGGGGUUGGAAAGUUUCGGCGGUUGGGGAUGGACUCGCGGCUUAUCGGCUUGUUGGUGGGGUAGUGGCUUACCAAGGCUUUGACGGGUAGCCGGCCUGAGAGGGUGACCGGCCUCCUUGGUCCUGAGAGACGGCCCAGACGCCUACGGUCGGCAGCAGGGGGGAAUAUUGCACAAUGGGCGGAAGCCUGAUGCAGCAACGUCGCGUUCGUGAUGACGGCUUUCGGGUUGUAAACCGCUUUCGCCUGUGCCGAAGCGUUAGUGACGGUAAUGGGUAAAGAAGCACCGGCUAACUACGUG